UAGGGAAUAUUGGACAAUGGGGGCAACCCUGAUCCAGCCAUGCCGCGUGAGUGAAGAAGGCCCUCGGGUUGUAAAGCUCUUUUGUCCGGAAAGAAAAGCUUCGGGUUAAUACCCCGGGGUUCUGACGGUACCGGAAGAAUAAGCACCGGCUAACUUCGUGCCAGCAGCCGCGGUAAUACGAAGGGUGCAAGCGUUACUCGGAAUUACUGGGCGUAAAGCGUGCGUAGGUGGUUGUUUAAGUCUGAUGUGAAAGCCCUGGGCUCAACCUGGGAAUGGCAUUGGAAACUGGGCAGCUAGAGUGCGGUAGAGGGUAGUGGAAUUCCCGGUGUAGCAGUGAAAUGCGUAGAGAUCGGGAGGAACAUCUGUGGCGAAGGCGACUGCCUGGACCAGCACUGACACUGAGGCACGAAAGCGUGGAGAGCAAACA
rnacentral:rRNA from 1 species